CGAGCGAAUCGAUGGGAGCUUGCUCCCUGAGAUUAGCGGCGGACGGGUGAGUAACACGUGGGCAACCUGCCUAUAAGACUGGGAUAACUUCGGGAAACCGGAGCUAAUACCGGAUACGUUCUUUUCUCGCAUGAGAGAAGAUGGAAAGACGGUUUACGCUGUCACUUAUAGAUGGGCCCGCGGCGCAUUAGCUAGUUGGUGAGGUAAUGGCUCACCAAGGCGACGAUGCGUAGCCGACCUGAGAGGGUGAUCGGCCACACUGGGACUGAGACAC
rnacentral:rRNA from 1 species